rnacentral:rRNA from 1 species
UGGGGAAUCUUGGACAAUGGGCGCAAGCCUGAUCCAGCCAUGCCGCGUGCAGGAUGAAGGCCCUCGGGUUGUAAACUGCUUUUGUACGGAACGAAAAGCCUCUUUCUAAUAAAGAGGGGUGAUGACGGUACCGUAAGAAUAAGCACCGGCUAACUACGUGCCAGCAGCCGCGGUAAUACGUAGGGUGCGAGCGUUAAUCGGAAUUACUGGGCGUAAAGCGUGCGCAGGCGGUCUUGCAAGACAGUGGUGAAAUCCCCGGGCUCAACCUGGGAACUGCCAUUGUGACUGCAAGGCUGGAGUACGGCAGAGGGGGGUGGAAUUCCACGUGUAGCAGUGAAAUGCGUAGAGAUGUGGAGGAACACCGAUGGCGAAGGCAGCCCCCUGGGCCUGUACUGACGCUCAUGCACGAAAGCGUGGGGAGCAAACA